GACGAACGCUGGCGGCGCGCCUAAUACAUGCAAGUCGAGCGAGAAGACGUAGCAAUACGUUUGUAAAGCGGCGAACGGGUGAGGAAUACAUGGGUAACCCACCCUCGAGUGGGGAAUAACUAGCCGAAAGGUUAGCUAAUACCGCGUACGCUCCUUGGACUUCGGUUCAGGGAGGAAAGCGAUACCGUGGGUAUCGCGCUCAUGGAUGGGCUCAUGUCCUAUCAGCUUGUUGGUGAGGUAACGGCUCACCAAGGCUUCGACGGGUAGCUGGUCUGAGAGGACGAUCAGCCACACUGGCACUGCGACACGGGCCAGACCCU
rnacentral:rRNA from 1 species